rnacentral:rRNA from 1 species
GAUGAACGCUGGCGGCGUGCCUAAUACAUGCAAGUCGAGCGAAUGGAUUAAGAGCUUGCUCUUAUGAAGUUAGCGGCGGACGGGUGAGUAACACGUGGGUAACCUGCCCAUAAGACUGGGAUAACUCCGGGAAACCGGGGCUAAUACCGGAUAACAUUUUGAACCGCAUGGUUCGAAAUUGAAAGGCGGCUUCGGCUGUCACUUAUGGAUGGACCCGCGUCGCAUUAGCUAGUUGGUGAGGUAACGGCUCACCAAGGCAACGAUGCGUAGCCGACCUGAGAGGGUGAUCGGCCACACUGGGACUGAGACACGGCCCAGACUCCUACGUGAGGCAGCAGUAGGGAAUCUUCCGCAAUGGACGAAAGUCUGACGGAGCAACGCCGCGUGAGUGAUGAAGGCUUUCGGGUCGUAAAAUUCUGUUGUUAGGGAAGAACAAGAGCUAGUUGAAUAAGCUGGCACCUUGACGGUACCUAACCAGAAAGCCACGGCUAACUACGUUCCAGCCGCCGCCGUAA